CUGAUAUACAGAUUGUUUAGGAUUCCCCUCAGCCCUGAGUCCUUUGAUAGAGAGUGGAACAUAAUCAAACAGAUAGCGGUUGCACCUGAGUCCAUCUGUUACGCGAGAACCGAUUUCCACCCCGUCAAUCCACUCCCUCCCCCUUACCCCCUCAGACUGUCCUCCACAACCCGGGAUUCGUAGAUUCGUCAUCAAAUAUGUGGGCAAAGUCUCGCUGAGCAUAGCCAAGAUCCUAAAGAGCGAGGGGCUAGACGUUUCCUUCAAGUGCAGUGGGGGGCUCUCGUCCUGCAUGUCUCUUACCAAAGACAGAUUACCCCCAAUGUCAUCCUCGGGUGUAUACAAGAUAAGGUGUGGUUCAUGCAACGCCGCCUACGUCGGACAGACGGUAGUAAGUGUCCAUUUUAUUAGUAGUUUUUGCAAAUUUUAAAAAUUUCAGUAGCUUUUGUAAGUUUAAAUUCAUCCUAAUUAAAAUUUUAGUAUUCGUAAGUUUAAAUUCAGUCAGACCCACAGUUAUUUUUGGUACGCGCGGGUACACCGUCCUUUUUUUGGGUCUGGCUCUUAAUUGUAAGCCUAGCUGGAGGUUCGUCUUGACUGACAGGACAACCUCCAGCCGGUGCUCCAAAAAUAAUUAAAUAAAAUUGUUUGUGUUUGGUUUUGUUUUCUUGUUUUAUUUGGUCCACUGUGAAUCUGGUCCACUGUGAGUUUCGUCACUUUGGUCUGGUCCGCUGUGAGUUUUGUUUGGUCCACUGUAAAUUCUGUCACCUGUCCGCCAUUUGCUUCAAUUUCGCCGCCAUGACAGCACGCUUGUAACGUCAUUAACAAAUCCAUGUAAUCCAUGGACAAAUAAAGUUCUUCUAUUUGUUUAUGGAAAAUAUCUGUGUUAUGUAAGUCAUGGUCUUGUCCCUUCCCCGAUAAUUUUCGGUUUGUAUCUUGUAGUUGGCUGAUGAUGGGGUAGUUACCCCGAAACAAUUGUCCCUAUUUUAUAAAUAAAUUUCUUGGGAGGCGACUUCGAGUUUGGUUCUCUCCUUCAUAAAUCAUUGAACCACCCCUCUUUGAGAAUGGAUCACAGAUCUCUCUUCAAGUUAAAAAGAUUUUGUUU